rnacentral:tRNA from 1 species
GCCUUCGUGGUGUAGCGGUCAGCACGCUGGGCUCAUAAUCCAGAGGCCCAUGGUUCGAGUUCCAACGAGGGCA